rnacentral:rRNA from 1 species
CAGCCGCCGCGGUAACACGUAGGGUGCAAGCGUUAAUCGGAAUUACUGGGCGUAAAGCGUGCGUAGGCGGUUUGUUAAGUCUGCUGUGAAAUCCCCGGGCUCAACCUGGGAAUGGCAGUGGAUACUGGCAAGCUAGAGUGUGUCAGAGGGUGGUGGAAUUCCCGGUGUAGCGGUGAAAUGCGUAGAGAUCGGGAGGAACAUCAGUGGCGAAGGUGGCCAUCUGGGACAACACUGACGCUGAGGCACGAAAGCGUGGGGAGCAAACAGGAUUAGAUACCCCAGUAGUCCCUGUCUCUUAUAC